rnacentral:snRNA from 1 species
ACCAUGCAUAAUUGCAUCUCUAUAUACA